rfam:Candidate division WS6 bacterium GW2011_GWC1_33_20 TR34_C0016, whole genome shotgun sequence.
GCCGAGAUGGUGAAACUGGCAGACACGCUUGCCUUAGGAGCAAGUGGGAUUAAUAUCCCUUGGAGGUUCGAGUCCUCUUCUCGGCA